GGGUUGUGAGGUUAAGCGACUAAGCGUACACGGUGGAUGCCCUGGCAGUCAGAGGCGAUGAAGGGCGUGCUAAUCUGCGAUAAGCGCCGGUAAGGUGAUAUGAACCGUUAUAACCGGCGAUACCCGAAUGGGGAAACCCAGUGUGACUCGUCACACUAUCAUUAACUGAAUCCAUAGGUUAAUGAGGCGAACCGGGGGAACUGAAACAUCUAAGUACCCCGAGGAAAAGAAAUCAACCGAGAUUCCCCCAGUAGCGGCGAGCGAACGGGGAGGAGCCCAGAGCCUGAAUCAGCAUGUGUGUUAGUGGAAGCGUCUGGAAAGGCGCGCGAUACAGGGUGACAGCCCCGUACACAAAAGCGCAUGUGCUGUGAGCUCGAUGAGUAGGGCGGGACACGUGGUAUCCUGUCUGAAUAUGGGGGGACCAUCCUCCAAGGCUAAAUACUCCUGACUGACCGAUAGUGAACCAGUACCGUGAGGGAAAGGCGAAAAGAACCCCGGCGAGGGGAGUGAAAAAGAACCUGAAACCGUGUACGUACAAGCAGUGGGAGCNNNNNNNNNGGGCGUUAAGUUGCAGGGUAUAGACCCGAAACCCGGUGAUCUAGCCAUGGGCAGGUUGAAGGUUGGGUAACACUAACUGGAGGACCGAACCGACUAAUGUUGAAAAAUUAGCGGAUGACCUGUGGCUGGGGGUGAAAGGCCAAUCAAACCGGGAGAUAGCUGGUUCUCCCCGAAAGCUAUUUAGGUAGCGCCUCGUGAAUUCAUCUCCGGGGGUAGAGCACUGUUUCGGCUAGGGGGCCAUCCCGGCUUACCAACCCGAUGCAAACUGCGAAUACCGGAGAAUGUUAUCACGGGAGACACACGGCGGGUGCUAACGUCCGUCGUGAAGAGGGAAACAACCCAGACCGCCAGCUAAGGUCCCAAAGUCAUGGUUAAGUGGGAAACGAUGUGGGAAGGCCCAGACAGCCAGGAUGUUGGCUUAGAAGCAGCCAUCAUUUAAAGAAAGCGUAAUAGCUCACUGGUCGAGUCGGCCUGCGCGGAAGAUGUAACGGGGCUAAACCAUGCACCGAAGCUGCGGCAGCGACACUGUGUGUUGUUGGGUAGGGGAGCGUUCUGUAAGCCUGUGAAGGUGUGUCGUGAGGCAUGCUGGAGGUAUCAGAAGUGCGAAUGCUGACAUAAGUAACGAUAAAGCGGGUGAAAAGCCCGCUCGCCGGAAGACCAAGGGUUCCUGUCCAACGUUAAUCGGGGCAGGGUGAGUCGACCCCUAAGGCGAGGCCGAAAGGCGUAGUCGAUGGGAAACGGGUUAAUAUUCCCGUACUUGGUGUUACUGCGAAGGGGGGACGGAGAAGGCUAUGUUGGCCGGGCGACGGUUGUCCCGGUUUAAGCGUGUAGGUGUGUGUUCCAGGUAAAUCCGGUUCACUUUAACACUGAGGCGUGACGACGAGGCACUACGGUGCUGAAGCAACAAAUGCCCUGCUUCCAGGAAAAGCCUCUAAGCAUCAGGUAACAUCAAAUCGUACCCCAAACCGACACAGGUGGUCAGGUAGAGAAUACCAAGGCGCUUGAGAGAACUCGGGUGAAGGAACUAGGCAAAAUGGUGCCGUAACUUCGGGAGAAGGCACGCUGACACGUAGGUGAAGUGAUUUACUCAUGGAGCUGAAGUCAGUCGAAGAUACCAGCUGGCUGCAACUGUUUAUUAAAAACACAGCACUGUGCAAACACGAAAGUGGACGUAUACGGUGUGACGCCUGCCCGGUGCCGGAAGGUUAAUUGAUGGGGUCAGCGCAAGCGAAGCUCCUGAUCGAAGCCCCGGUAAACGGCGGCCGUAACUAUAACGGUCCUAAGGUAGCGAAAUUCCUUGUCGGGUAAGUUCCGACCUGCACGAAUGGCGUAAUGAUGGCCAGGCUGUCUCCACCCGAGACUCAGUGAAAUUGAACUCGCUGUGAAGAUGCAGUGUACCCGCGGCAAGACGGAAAGACCCCGUGAACCUUUACUAUAGCUUGACACUGAACAUUGAGCCUUGAUGUGUAGGAUAGGUGGGAGGCUUUGAAGUGUGGACGCCAGUCUGCAUGGAGCCGACCUUGAAAUACCACCCUUUAAUGUUUGAUGUUCUAACGUGGACCCGUUACCCGGGUUGCGGACAGUGUCUGGUGGGUAGUUUGACUGGGGCGGUCUCCUCCUAAAGAGUAACGGAGGAGCACGAAGGUUGGCUAAUCCUGGUCGGACAUCAGGAGGUUAGUGCAAUGGCAUAAGCCAGCUUGACUGCGAGCGUGACGGCGCGAGCAGGUGCGAAAGCAGGUCAUAGUGAUCCGGUGGUUCUGAAUGGAAGGGCCAUCGCUCAACGGAUAAAAGGUACUCCGGGGAUAACAGGCUGAUACCGCCCAAGAGUUCAUAUCGACGGCGGUGUUUGGCACCUCGAUGUCGGCUCAUCACAUCCUGGGGCUGAAGUAGGUCCCAAGGGUAUGGCUGUUCGCCAUUUAAAGUGGUACGCGAGCUGGGUUUAGAACGUCGUGAGACAGUUCGGUCCCUAUCUGCCGUGGGCGCUGGAGAACUGAGGGGGGCUGCUCCUAGUACGAGAGGACCGGAGUGGACGCAUCACUGGUGUUCGGGUUGUCAUGCCAAUGGCACUGCCCGGUAGCUAAAUGCGGAAGAGAUAAGUGCUGAAAGCAUCUAAGCACGAAACUUGCCCCGAGAUGAGUUCUCCCUGAGACUUA
rnacentral:rRNA from 2 species